rnacentral:lncRNA from 10 species
UUUGCUAUUUGAAAUAUAUAAAACAUUUGAUGUUAAAUCAGUUAAAAUAGCUAGUGAUUGAUAGUAACUGAAGAAAUGACUCAGUAUGAAGUAUAAAGAGAUGACAAACAUGAAAAAUGUUAAGAUACUUGAAAGAGAGAGUAAGAAGCUUUAUGUAGAGGUAACUGACGUUCUUGAAGAGAAUAAAAAUGGAAAAUUUGCAAUAUUCGAAAUACCUGAAAAUUUUCCAGAAAUGAUAUUAAAUCAAUAAGCAGAUUUAGGAAGUGCAGUGAAUCCAUAUCUAGAUGCUUUAUACUGAAUUUGCAGAACACCAAAGACUAAGAGAUGAUCUUAAAGUAGCCAGAGAAAAAAGGUCAUUAUAAAGAAGUUAUUAUUCUGACAGUUGACUCCUCAAAUGCAGCAAUACAAGCCAGAAAGAUAAUGGAAUUUGAUAUGGUUGGGUUGUGUCCCCACCCAAAUCUCAUCCUGAAUUUCCACGUGUUGUUGGAGGGACACAGUGGGAGGUAAUUGCAUCUGAAUCAUGGGCGCAGGUCUUUCCUGUGCUGUUCUUGUGAUAUUGAAUAAGUCUCACAAGAUCUGAUGGUUAUAAAAAGGGAAAUUUCCCUACACAAGCGCUUCUCUCUGCCUGGUGCCGUCCAUGUGAGAUGUGACUUACUCCUCCUUGCCUUCCGCCAUGAUUGUGAGGCUUCCCCAGACGCGUGGAAAUGUAAGUUUAAUUAAACCUCUUUCUUUUGUAAAUUGCCCAGUCUCAGGUAUGUCUUUAUCAGCAGCAUGAAAACGGAUAAUACAGAGUAAAAUCCUUAAAAUGCUGAGAUAAAAUACCCCUGAAGUUAGAAUUGUCCAUCCAGCUAAACUAUUAGGUUGGUGCAAAAGUAAUUGCAGUUUUGCCAUUAAAAGGAAUGUCAAAAACCCCAAUUAUUUGCACCAACUGAAAUAUUUUCCAAAAAUUGUUCGACAUUUUCAGAAAAAUAAAAAAUGACAGAAUUUACAAUGAAUAGAACUAUUUAAAAGAACUUUAUGAAGAGAUUUCAGGAAGAAGAAAAUUGAUUUCAGAAAGUCUGAGUUGCAAUAAGAAAUAUAGUAAAGAAAAUGUUAAACUUAGACAUAAAUUGGAAAAAGAAACCAUUAAAUUGCACUAUAAAUUUUUUCAAUUUUUGGAUUAAAAAAACUUAGACCAAAAUAACAUAUUUAUCUGGAGGAGAUAAUCAAAGUAUUUUAAAUGUUUUAUAUUGUUCAAAAUGAGUAUAAAGAUACUUACUAUUGGCCGGGCAUGGUGGCUCAUGCCUUUACUCUCAGCACUUUGGGAGGCCGAGGCGGGCAGAUCACGAGGUCAGGAGUUCGAGAUCAGCAUGGCCAACAUAGUGAAACCCCAUCUCUACUAAAAAUAAAAAAAAUUACCUAGGCUUGGUGGCAGGUGCCUGUAGUCCCAGCUACUUAGGAGGCUGAGGCAGGAGAAUCGCUUGAACCCAGGAGGCAGAGGUUGCAGUGAACCGAGACUGUGCCACUGCACUCCAGCUCGGGCAACAGAGCAAGACUCCAUCUCAAGGAAAAAAAAAAAAGAUAUUUACUCUCUUUGCACUAAUUUAAAUGUGAUUGUUAAAUUUGUUAGAUUAUUAUUGAAAGAAACAGAAUGUAAAACUUCCAAAUAAGUGGGAGGAAGAAAGAGAGAGGGAGAAAACCCCCCAAAUAAGUAAAAGCAAAAAACUGCAAUUUCUCCCAAAAGAAGCCCAAAAAGAAGAAAGGGAGACAAAAAGAGAAAAGUGACAAAAAUCGAAGAUACAAAAUAAGAUGGUAGAAAUUAUCCCAAAUAUAUCAACAGUCUCAGCCAAUGUUACUAGACUAAGCUCUCAAUUUAAAAGACGAAUAUUUUGAAAAUGGAGAAAAAGAUCCACCUAUGCACUAACUAGAAGCAAUACACCUAAAACACAGGAUACAAAAGUUGAAAAUAAAAAGUGAAGAAAAAUAUGCUAACCAAAUAACCUAAAAGAAAACUGUUGUGGCUAUAUUAUCAGCCAAAAUUGAUAUGUAAACAAAAGCAAUACUAGAGAUAAAGAGGGUCAUUGCCAUUAAUAAAGUUAACAUUUAUUAAGAAUAUAUAACAAUCCUGAUUAUAUGCACCUAAUACCAUAUAUAAAUCUGAAAUUUACAGAACUACAAAGAGAAACCAUAAGAAUAACAAGACUCCAACACAACUUUAUAAUUAAUAGAUUAAUAAAUUGAUAAAAGUUUGGAAGAGUUGAAAAAUACAGUUAAUAAUAUUGACACAACGUAAAACUUAUAAGUUGCUGUGCUGGGCUCUGGCAACCACCUCGGCCUCCCAAAGUGCUGGGAUUACAGGCGGAGCCACCACGCCUGGCUGGAUAUCUGAAACAUUCUUAAACAUCAGUAAGGAACAGAUAAACCACGUGCCAAAAAAAUGCACAAAAACUAUAAACAGGUUAUCAUACAUACAAAACCUAAUGGCCAUAUGGAAAGAUGGCGAACCUCAUUAAUAAUCAGGGAAAAGUAAUAAGGUACAUUUCAGACACUAAAAAGUAAUAAGGUACAUUACAUACACAUUUGGCAACAGCAAAAAUGUUAACAUCUGACAAAAUCCAUUUUGUCUGGAAUGUGGAAGAGUUGGCAUGCAUAUUGCCACUGGUGAGUUUGUACUUUAUUACUUAUACUUUGAAAAAUUAUUUGACAAUGUCCACUUGAAAAUGUCUGUUGAAGGGAUGCAUGUUCUUUUAUAGAGCAAUAACACUGCUAGGUUCAUAUCCUAGAGAAAAUCCCAGACGUGUAAACAAGAUUUGUGUGAGAAUGUUUGCAGCAGCAGUGUUUAUAAAGAUGAAUAAAUGGGUAACAUCCUAAAUGUCCUACAACAGGCAGUGAAUAUGGUCAGCUGUAAACUCUUACAAGGCACAGAGCCCUUGCCUAAACACUGUGCUAAGAGAGUAAACUCUAGCCUGCUCUCACCACACCAGGCCACCUUCUAAAGGCAGCCCCAGCUCCCAAGCUAAGUCUUUGCUAAAGAAAAUGCAACGGUCUGGCGCAGUGGCUUGGCUCCCUCCUG